rnacentral:pre_miRNA from 1 species
AGUGGAAUAGCUGGGUCAAGUGGUGGUUCCAUUCCAAGUUUUCUAAGGAACCUCCAUACUGUUUUCCAAGAGUGGUUGCACCAAUUUGCAGUGCCACCGGUAAU